rnacentral:lncRNA from 1 species
ACUGUAUGAUGACCAGUCAUCCCAGUUUUCCCAGAACCAGACUGUUUAUUCAUCCAUUUACCUGCUGAAGGGCAUCUUGAUUGUUUCUAUGUUUUAGCAAUUAUGAAUAAAGCUUCUAUAGACACAAUGUGCAGGUUUCUGUGUGGACGUGUUUCCACCUCCUUUGAUAACGACCAAGGAAUUCAGUUGCUGGAUUGUAUGCCCCUAGAAAGUUAAUCCUACUUUGAAGACCUCUAAUUUCCCAGUCCUCAGCCAUAGCUGAUUGGACCAGGAAUAGGUGUCUGAAUGAAUAAACCACUGACUCUCAGAAAUUUGAACUGAAAGAGACAGAGCUACUUGAGCUGAAGAGUCAUAUGGAGGCUCCAUGGAAGUAGUGGUUUUCAGCAAAGCAUAAGAUAAUCAAACAUCAGAUACCCUUGGAGGAGAGAAUGACAAAUGGAUAGAUGUACAGAGUGAAAUGAAGUCAUAAGAAAGAGAGAUGCAGAGAUGGCAUUAUGUGAAGACAUUAACCUUGGUUACCAAAUUAAAUAUCCAGGCCCUGGACAGCCAACUACAUUUGCCUCAUCUUUUUUUUUUUUUUCAUUGACAAAUAAAAAAUAUGUUAGGCCGGGUGCGGUGGCUCACACCUGUAAUCCCAGCACUUUGGGAAGCCAAGGAGGGUGGAUCGCCUGAGGUAAGGAGUUGUAGACCAGCCUGAUCAACAUGGAGAAAACCCGUCUCUACUAAAAAUACGAAAUUAGCCAGACGUGCUGGCGUAUGACUGUAAUCCCAGCUACUUGGGAAGCUG